UACGUAGGGGGCAAGCGUUGUCCGGAUUUAUUGGGCGUAAAGAGCGUGUAGGCGGCCAAACAGGUCAGCUGUGAAAACUCGAGGCUCAACCUCGAGACGUCGGUUGAAACCGUUUGGCUAGAGUCCGGAAGAGGAGAGUGGAAUUCCCGGUGUAGCGGUGAAAUGCGCAGAUAUCGGGAAGAACACCCGUGGCGAAGGCGGCUCUCUGGGACGGUACUGACGCUGAGACGCGAAAGCGUGGGAGCGAACAGG
rnacentral:rRNA from 1 species